rnacentral:rRNA from 1 species
GACCCGUGUUUAUUUUACCUUGUUGCUUCGGCGGGCCCGCCUUAACUGGCCGCCGGGGGGCUUACGCCCCCGGGCCCGCGCCCGCCGAAGACACCCUCGAACUCUGUCUGAAGAUUGAAGUCUGAGUGAAAAUAUAAAUUAUUUAAAACUUUCAACAACGGAUCUCUUGGUUCCGGCAUCGAUGAAGAACGCAGCGAAAUGCGAUACGUAAUGUGAAUUGCAAAUUCAGUGAAUCAUCGAGUCUUUGAACGCACAUUGCGCCCCCUGGUAUUCCGGGGGGCAUGCCUGUCCGAGCGUCAUUGCUGCCCUCAAGCCCGGCUUGUGUGUUGGGCCCCGUCCCCCGAUCUCCGGGGGACGGGCCCGAAAGGCAGCGGCGGCACCGCGUCCGGUCCUCGAGCGUAUGGGGCUUUGUCACCCGCUCUGUAGGCCCGGCCGGCGCUUGCCGAUCAACCCAAAUUUUUAUCCAGGUUGACCUCGGAUCAGGUAGGGAUACCCGCUGAACUUAAGCAUAUCAAUAAGCGGAG